rnacentral:rRNA from 1 species
GUGGGGAAUUUUGGACAAUGGGCGCAAGCCUGAUCCAGCAAUGCCGCGUGCAGGAAGAAGGCCUUCGGGUUGUAAACUGCUUUUGUACGGAACGAAACGGUCCUGGCUAAUACCCGGGGCUAAUGACGGUACCGUAAGAAUAAGCACCGGCUAACUACGUGCCAGCAGCCGCGGUAAUACGUAGGGUGCGAGCGUUAAUCGGAAUUACUGGGCGUAAAGCGUGCGCAGGCGGUUCUGUAAGACAGGCGUGAAAUCCCCGGGCUCAACCUGGGAAUUGCGCUUGGGAUUGCGGUGCUGGAGUGCGGCAGAGGGGGAUGGAAUUCCGCGUGUAGCAGUGAAAUGCGUAGAUAUGCGGAGGAACACCGAUGGCGAAGGCAAUCCCCUGGGCCUGCACUGACGCUCAUGCACGAAAGCGUGGGGAGCAAACAGGAUUAGAUACCCGAGUAGUCC